UGAGGAAUAUUGGGCAAUGCCCGCAAGGGUGACCCAGCAACGCCGCGUGGAGGAUGAAUGUCGUAAGAUUGUAAACUCCUGUUAGAGGGGAAGAAUAGUACCGGUUGGACCGGUAUAUGACUGUACCCUCAGAGAAAGCCCCGGCUAACUACGUGCCAGCGGCCGCGGUAAUACGUAGGGGGCAAGCGUUGUCCGGAUUUACUGGGUGUAAAGGGCGCGCAGGCGGGAUAAAAAGUCAGUGGUGAAAUCCUACAGCUUAACUGUAGAACUGCCUUUGAUACUUUUAUUCUUGAGUUCGGGAGAGAGAGACGGAAUUCCAGGUGUAGUGGUGAAAUACGUAGAUAUCUGGAAGAACACCAGUUGCGAAGGCGGUCUCUUGGUCCGACACUGACGCUGAGGCGCGAAAGCGUGGGGAGCAAACA
rnacentral:rRNA from 1 species